ACCUGAAACCGUGUACGUACAAGCAGUGGGAGCACCCUUUGGGGUGUGACUGCGUACCUUUUGUAUAAUGGGUCAGCGACUUAUAUUCUGUAGCAAGGUUAACCGAAUAGGGGAGCCGGAGGGAAACCGAGUCUUAAUUGGGCGUUAAGUUGCAGGGUAUAGACCCGAAACCCGGUGAUCUAGCCAUGGGCAGGUUGAAGGUUGGGUAACACUAACUGGAGGACCGAACCGACUAAUGUUGAAAAAUUAGCGGAUGACCUGUGGCUGGGGGUGAAAGGCCAAUCAAACCGGGAGAUAGCUGGUUCUCCCCGAAAGCUAUUUAGGUAGCGCCUCGUGAAUUCAUCUCCGGGGGUAGAGCACUGUUUCGGCUAGGGGGCCAUCCCGGCUUACCAACCCGAUGCAAACUGCGAAUACCGGAGAAUGUUAUCACGGGAGACACACGGCGGGUGCUAACGUCCGUCGUGAAGAGGGAAACAACCCAGACCGCCAGCUAAGGUCCCAAAGUCAUGGUUAAGUGGGAAACGAUGUGGGAAGGCCCAGACAGCCAGGAUGUUGGCUUAGAAGCAGCCAUCAUUUAAAGAAAGCGUAAUAGCUCACUGGUCGAGUCGGCCUGCGCGGAAGAUGUAACGGGGCUAAACCAUGCACCGAAGCUGCGGCAGCGACGCUGAUGCGUUGUUGGGUAGGGGAGCGUUCUGUAAGCCUGCGAAGGUGGCCUGUGAGGGUUGCUGGAGGUAUCAGAAGUGCGAAUGCUGACAUAAGUAACGAUAAAGCGGGUGAAAAGCCCGCUCGCCGGAAGACCAAGGGUUCCUGUCCAACGUUAAUCGGGGCAGGGUGAGUCGACCCCUAAGGCGAGGCCGAAAGGCGUAGUCGAUGGGAAACGGGUUAAUAUUCCCGUACUUGGUGUUACUGCGAAGGGGGGACGGAGAAGGCUAUGUUGGCCGGGCGACGGUUGUCCCGGUUUAAGCGUGUAGGUGUGUGUUCCAGGUAAAUCCGGUUCACUUUAACACUGAGGCGUGAUGACGAGGCACUACGGUGCUGAAGCAACAAAUGCCCUGCUUCCAGGAAAAGCCUCUAAGCAUCAGGUAACAUCAAAUCGUACCCCAAACCGACACAGGUGGUCAGGUAGAGAAUACCAAGGCGCUUGAGAGAACUCGGGUGAAGGAACUAGGCAAAAUGGUGCCGUAACUUCGGGAGAAGGCACGCUGACACGUAGGUGAAGUGAUUUACUCAUGGAGCUGAAGUCAGUCGAAGAUACCAGCUGGCUGCAACUGUUUAUUAAAAACACAGCACUGUGCAAACACGAAAGUGGACGUAUACGGUGUGACGCCUGCCCGGUGCCGGAAGGUUAAUUGAUGGGGUCAGCGCAAGCGAAGCUCCUGAUCGAAGCCCCGGUAAACGGCGGCCGUAACUAUAACGGUCCUAAGGUAGCGAAAUUCCUUGUCGGGUAAGUUCCGACCUGCACGAAUGGCGUAAUGAUGGCCAGGCUGUCUCCACCCGAGACUCAGUGAAAUUGAACUCGCUGUGAAGAUGCAGUGUACCCGCGGCAAGACGGAAAGACCCCGUGAACCUUUACUAUAGCUUGACACUGAACAUUGAGCCUUGAUGUGUAGGAUAGGUGGGAGGC
rnacentral:rRNA from 1 species